rnacentral:rRNA from 1 species
CUGUAAAAAUGUUUUUGGGGGAGACGCUUAAGGGCUGUGUUGGGCGCCAGGGACCAGCAGAGGGAGCGUCGGAGUGAGCAGAGGGGACACGCAGCCUCGGGAGGGAGAGCCGAGGGGGGCGCGACCUCGAGGGGACGAGCCGAGGGGACGCGCAGCGGCCUCGACGGAGCGGGGUGUGGAGGUGGCGCAACGAAGGGAGAGGAACAAGGGAACGAGCAAGGGGUACCACUUGGUGCCCUUCCUCUUCCGAGCUAAAAAAAAGAGCUAGACGAGAGGCUGCCGCCGCCGGCCGGAAGGGGCUCGAACCGGUCGUCCUCGACAGGGAAGGGCAACAGCUAGACGAGAGGCGCUGCGGAGGACGGAAGGGCCUGGUAGGGGAGAGUGAGUCGGCGCUGAGGGAGGGACCUCGUCGGCAAGGGCGGGUUGGGUUUCGGCGGCCAGCCUCGAUGCGGCGUCGUGCGAGGGAGGGGGGAGAAGAACCCCUGGCCUAACACCGGCUCCUCCUCGAACAGGAACAGCGGGUCGUCGAGGGCGAGGUUGCCCGAGCAGGUGUUCAGGCCGUCGUGGUCGGCGAGAAGGGAGAAGGCCAGAUCGGGUAGCUGCUGCUGCCGAGGAGGAGUACGAGUAGCCUGAGCACGUGUUCACGAGACGUUCAGACGUAACCCUUUAUGAAACCGUACCUCAUGUAACACCGAGACUUUAGUAAAGACUUCGUCACUCUAGACUUCAAAUACGAUCUUAACUUCACAAACAAAGGAUUGAUAUCCAUCGUCAUGAGACUACCUCAUGGAAGAAGUCUCACGUUUAUCGUGGUCGUCGUCGUCAGUGCCGCCCUCAGUUGUCGUUGUUGUCGUUGUGCCGUGCCUAGUCGUUGUCUUCGUGUCCGUCUCGUCAUCGU